CCUACGGGUGGCAGCAGUAGGGAAUAUUGCUCAAUGGGGGAAACCCUGAAGCAGCAACGCCGCGUGGAGGAUGAAGGUUUUCGGAUUGUAAACUCCUUUUGUUAGAGAAGAUAAUGACGGUAUCUAACGAAUAAGCACCGGCUAACUCCGUGCCAGCAGCCGCGGUAAUACGGAGGGUGCAAGCGUUACUCGGAAUCACUGGGCGUAAAGAGCGCGUAGGAGGGAUAGCAAGUCAGAUGUGAAAUCCUAUGGCUUAACCAUGAAACUGCAGUUGAAACUGGUAUUCUAGAGUAUGGGAGGGGAGGGUGGAAUUCUUGGUGUAGGGGUAAAA
rnacentral:rRNA from 1 species